CUACGGUGAAUACGUUCCCGGACCUUGUACACACCGCCCGUCAAACAAUGGAAGCUGGGUGUACCUAAAGUCGGUAACCGUAAGGAGCCGCCUAGGGUAAAACUAGUGACUGGGGCU
rnacentral:rRNA from 1 species